GUCUAGCUGACGAGUUCCAAAUGGGACGAAAUGCGCAUCCUGGAU
rnacentral:hammerhead_ribozyme from 1 species